AUUUACCACAGACUGUAUAUAAUGGUAUUUACGCAGCUAAUCAACGUCAGGCGUCCUUAUGUGCAGCUACCGUUGUUCUCAUAGAUAUGAAUGAGUAGAUAGGACACGCCCCUUUGAGCUGCGUGCUACAGCGAGGCUAAGCUAGUGGGGGAAAAGUUUCAGUGCAUUCCGUUGAUGUAGACGGCGUGAAAACGGAAACAAGAAGUAUGCCGGCUCACUGUGCUGCAUACAAUUACACACUACGUCGUACGAUUGAGACAAGGAAACUUGGAAUGACUUUUCAUAGGUUUCCCAGAGACUAUGGGUUGAGGAGGAAUUGGAAGUUUGUCGGCUUAGACCUGGUGUCAUUCCAUCAGUGUUAAACUUCCCGGCUCAUCUUGGAAGAGUACGUGCCAGAAAGACCACGACCAAGCAGCCUUGAGAUCUUAGACAGCGUCUCCCUGAGGUCCCUCUCUAUCUCCCCACACAUCCACCAACCACUGAAAUACAUCUCCAAAGUUCUGCCGGGCCAGCUCAGCUUCCCCUCAGAAGAAGUGCUGCCACCUGCCAGAUGAAGGAGCCUUUUGAGAGGCAGCUGGCAUCGUGAUUGGACUGUACUUUGGUCUGUUCUAAUCCAGCUUCAGCUCCAGAGACGGCAGGCGGGACGAGUCAACGGAGGCCGGGUGGACGAAGGCAUGCAGCUGAGUACAAUCCAGAAAACAACAAAUAACAAGUCAAAGGAAAGAGACAUACAUUGUAGAAUUGUAGUAAUUGUGGGCUGACUGAUUUACUGAUUAUCAGUAUUUUAUUUUUUACUGAUUUAUGGUAAUAAAUACAUUUAAAAAUGGUG